GCGUUUUAUUAGGAAUAGUUUGUCAUUUGUCAUCUGAAUUCGUCGUUCAUCUUCUCUCUAAUUAGCAUCAUUUUUUUUUUUACAGAAAAAGGUACAUUCUGUUCUAAAAUUUAUGAAGUUUCACGUAAAGAUCUGCCAAUUGGAUAUCAAAUGCCUGCUUAGUCUAUGACGACGAGAAACUCCAAGCAUAUUUUGAGAAAAAAAUGGCUAUUUGCAACUUCAAACCAUCUAUUGCUACUAUGAACUUGGGAUAUGGGUGUUACAGGAGCGCUAUGGAAUAUGAAAACACCUAACAAGAGAAAGGCCAAUUCUAUAAAAUAAUGGUGAGAACACUAAUAUUAUAUUAGGGGUGUUUUAGUAAAUUUACCCAUUACGAUACAGUACCAUAUCAUCAAA